GUCGAGCUUUCCUCUCGCGAGAAGCGUUUCUAAAGCUUCUUGGCUGCUCUGAACGUCACGUGAGGAGGCACCUCCCUGUGUUGGUAGAGAAGAGAGAGAAGAACUCUCAAAGGAGUCUCAUCACACCAUCACCCCCUUUCCCAGAACUCCAGCUCCUCGGGACUAUGGACUUUUUGCCUGAAGAAUUGUAAGAAAACAGGCGCUAGCGUAUGGCACGGUGGUUAUGUGACUGGACUCCCACAUGGCCAACUGCUCUUCAUGUCCUGGACCCAGUAGCUUCAAACUCAUGCCAGGAUGAAGUUUGAAGAUUAUGCCUGUGUAAAAGCAGACUUGUGUUGGCCAGCAGACCAGAUUCAAGGUGUUUGUUACCAUUGGGGACUACAAUGGCCAUGCUGGUUUGGGGCGAAGUGCUCCGAGGUAGCUACUGCCAUCCAAGGGACCAUUAUCCUGACCAAGCUCUCCAUCAUCUCUAUGCAGAGAAGCUGUUUCAAAAAACAACUGCUGAGAAAUCAAGAGCCACUCAGAAUAAGAAAACUCAGGAUUUUAACACCAGCGGUCCCAGCAGAGCUCAUACUCCCAAAUUUGGGCACUGCCUUGCAGAAGUUACAGGAGUAAUAUAAUCUGGUUCACAGAUGUUGCAGACAAAGGAAACUGGAAAAAUCACUAAACAGCCACAAAACAGUUGCAAUCUAGCUCAUAACAUUUCCCUGCAGGCAGUUUACAGAGGUGGAACAGAAACGCUUCCUAUUCCCAAGCAGCUUUUAGCAAAUAGGAUCCAUAUCAAGCCAACUGGGGCAACAAGAUCAGCAAGCCCCACACUGUCCCUGGCAAGGUGACCGACUGCUGUGACUCUGUACUGGUGUGUCUCAUUCCUGCCCCCAGAGGCACUGGCAUCACCUCAGUCUCUGUACCCAAGAAGCUGCUAAUGGCUAGCAUUGCCAACUGCUACACCUCACCCAGGGCUGCAUGGCCACCCUGGGGAACUUCACCCAGGCCACCCUUGAUGCCAUCUCCAAGUCCCACAGCUGUCUGACUCCUGACAUCUGGAAAGAGACUGUCUACUACAUCUCCCUCUGAGUAAUUCACUUACCAUCUCAUCAAGACCUACACGAGUCUCUGUGCAAAGGAC